UUUACCAGGAAAGCAAAGCAUAAAGGGAGCUACGACUGUCCUCACACAAACAGCAGCAGCAGACUUACAAAGGAUGAAGAUGUUUGGAAGAAUGAUGAGCUGCUGUGUGGCUCUCCUCCUGACCUUCAGCUCUGUGUCAGCUGUAAGAAAGCUCAACUCAAUCGCUGAUCUGAGGUCAGUAGGCUUUGGCCAGUCUGUGCCCGAGUACAGCCUCCGGUUGCUCCACUGGUUUGCUACCACAGUUGACUUUGACAAUAACAACAUCAUCCUGCUGACCUUUGACCCAAACCGUGGUGAUUAUGGCUCACAUCGAUAUCGCAACGAUGAACAGCUGUUAGACCCACUGCCGAGGGGAUAUCGAUACUACACUGUUGGUAAUAUCUACCAAGAUGCAUCACUGGAA